rnacentral:rRNA from 1 species
CAACUUUCAACAACGGAUCUCUUGGCUCUCGCAUCGAUGAAGAACG